rnacentral:piRNA from 1 species
UUGAAUUGUAAUCCCCAAUGCUGUAGGUGG